GAACGCUGGCGGCAUGCUUUACACAUGCAAGUCGAACGGUAACAGGCCUUCGGGCGCUGACGAGUGGCGAACGGGUGAGUAAUGCAUCGGAACGUGCCCAGAGGUGGGGGAUAACGCAGCGAAAGCUGUGCUAAUACCGCAUAUUAUCUGAGGAUGAAAGCGGGGGACCUUCGGGCCUCGCGCUACUGGAGCGGCCGAUAUCAGAUUAGGUAGUUGGUGGGGUAAAGGCCUACCAAGCCGACGAUCUGUAGCUGGUCUGAGAGGACGACCAGCCACACUGGGACUGAGACACGGCCCAGACUCCUACGGGAGGCAGCAGUGGGGAAUUUUGGACAAUGGACGCAAGUCUGAUCCAGCAAUGCCGCGUGCAGGACGAAGGCCUUCGGGUUGUAAAACUGCUUUUGUACAGAACGAAAAGGCUCUGGUUAAUACCUGGGGCUCAUGACGGUACUGUAAGAAUAAGCACCGGCUAACUACGUG
rnacentral:rRNA from 1 species